AACACAUGCAAGUCGAGCGGUAGCACAGAGAGCUUGCUCUCGGGUGACGAGCGGCGGACGGGUGAGUAAUGUCUGGGAAACUGCCUGAUGGAGGGGGAUAACUACUGGAAACGGUAGCUAAUACCGCAUAACGUCGCAAGACCAAAGUGGGGGACCUUCGGGCCUCAUGCCAUCAGAUGUGCCCAGAUGGGAUUAGCUGGUAGGUGGGGUAACGGCUCACCUAGGCGACGAUCCCUAGCUGGUCUGAGAGGAUGACCAGCCACACUGGAACUGAGACACGGUCCAGACUCCUACGGGAGGCAGCAGUGGGGAAUAUUGCACAAUGGGCGCAAGCCUGAUGCAGCCAUGCCGCGUGUGUGAAGAAGGCCUUCGGGUUGUAAAGCACUUUCAGCGGGGAGGAAGGCGGUGAGGUUAAUAACCUCACCGAUUGACGUUACCCGCAGAAGAAGCACCGGCUAACUCCGUGCCAGCAGCCGCGGUAAUACGGAGGGUGCAAGCGUUAAUCGGAAUUACUGGGCGUAAAGCGCACGCAGGCGGUCUGUCAAGUCGGAUGUGAAAUCCCCGGGCUCAACCUGGGAACUGCAUUCGAAACUGGCAGGCUAGAGUCUUGUAGAGGGGGGUAGAAUUCCAGGUGUAGCGGUGAAAUGCGUAGAGAUCUGGAGGAAUACCGGUGGCGAAGGCGGCCCCCUGGACAAAGACUGACGCUCAGGUGCGAAAGCGUGGGGAGCAAACAGGAUUAGAUACCCUGGUAGUCCACGCUGUAAACGAUGUCGAUUUGGAGGUUGUGCCCUUGAGGCGUGGCUUCCGGAGCUAACGCGUUAAAUCGACCGCCUGGGGAGUACGGCCGCAAGGUUAAAACUCAAAUGAAUUGACGGGGGCCCGCACAAGCGGUGGAGCAUGUGGUUUAAUUCGAUGCAACGCGAAGAACCUUACCUGGUCUUGACAUCCACAGAACUUUCCAGAGAUGGAUUGGUGCCUUCGGGAACUGUGAGACAGGUGCUGCAUGGCUGUCGUCAGCUCGUGUUGUGAAAUGUUGGGUUAAGUCCCGCAACGAGCGCAACCCUUAUCCUUUGUUGCCAGCGGUUAGGCCGGGAACUCAAAGGAGACUGCCAGUGAUAAACUGGAGGAAGGUGGGGAUGACGUCAAGUCAUCAUGGCCCUUACGACCAGGGCUACACACGUGCUACAAUGGCAUAUACAAAGAGAAGCGACCUCGCGAGAGCAAGCGGACCUCAUAAAGUAUGUCGUAGUCCGGAUUGGAGUCUGCAACUCGACUCCAUGAAGUCGGAAUCGCUAGUAAUCGUAGAUCAGAAUGCUACGGUGAAUACGUUCCCGGGCCUUGUACACACCGCCCGUCACACCAUGGGAGUGGGUUGCAAAAGAAGUAGGUAGCUUAACCUUCGGGAGGGCGCUUACCACUU
rnacentral:rRNA from 1 species